rnacentral:lncRNA from 1 species
UGCAUGCGUCGCCGCCGGAACGCGACGGAGCCAUGGGAGCGACGAGAGCAACGGCGUGGUUCAGCGAGAGUUGGGAGCGGCAGAAUGUGCGAGAGUGAGCAUCGGAGAAUAAUGGAAACCCUAGCGGAAAAGGAAAGUGAGGGGAAAAGGUUCUGAAGUUGAAAAGCGAUGGAUCGAGGAGAAGAAGUUCAAAAACAUGUAUUACUUUAAAUUACUCACAUUUUUUAAUUUUUUUUGUUAUAAAUAGUUAGUUUAAUUGUAAAAGAAACAAAAUUAAUUUAUAUAAUUAUAAUAAUUUAAUUUAUUUAAUUAAUAUAGUUAUUUUAUAAUAUCUAUAAUCUAUAACAUGAAUGAAUUGAGGGUUUUUAAAACUAAAACAACUAUCUAUAUAAAAAAAAACCACCGACAUCAUUUAAAAACAAGAUUAUAAUUUUAAUUGCAUGAAAAAUAUGAAAAAACAUUGUUUAAUUUAUAAUCUUAAAACUAUUUUUUGAAUUUAUUAAUACAAUAUCAUGCACUUACCACAGCUUCAAGAAAAUAAAAUGCAUUAUAUAACACAGAACACAUAUACCAAAAUGCAAAUGUUAUUACAAAUUAUAGCACAUAACAUAGUUCAUAUACAUAUCUUUAAAAAAAUAUUAAAUUGUAAGAAUAAAUUCUUCUUUAAAUGAAAGACCAAAGUAAGAUCUUUGAAAUAUGGUUAUGUUCUUGCCAAAAAAAUUCAUUCUCUUUUUAUAGAUCUUUGAAAUUUUUGUUGGUAUUAUUUUUCGGUCAUUACCAUUUACUAUCAUUAGUUUAAUGUUUAAAAAAAAAUCGAUAAAAUUAAAAUUUAAAAUAUGUAAGUUAACUGAGUAAUAUAAUUCUUCUAAUUAAAAUAAAUAGGGUAAUUUAGUGUGUGUUUUAAUGUGUUAUUUUUUAAUUACUAUUGUUUUUUUAGCACUCACUUUUUGUUUUAAUAUCAUUCUUAAUCCAACACUUAAUAUAAUUUAUUUGUUAGAUUUAUAAAAAAUUUAGUAUGAAUUUAACACAAAUUUAAAAGAGAAAUACAUUAAUUUUUUAAAAUUUAAAUUUAUUAUAUAAAUUUUUAAUUUUUUGGUUAAAAAAAUAAAAUAUAUUUAUAUACAUAAAUUUUUUUUUAAUUUAUAUAAUUUAUAAUUAUAUAUAUAUAGACUCGUGUUUUCGUGUUUUACAUUUUAAAGAUUAUAGGUAUUUUUUAUCCUGUUUUAAAGAUUAUAUAUACUUUUUUAUCUUAUUUUAAAAAUUAUAUGUACUUUCGUAUCAUAUUUUAAAAGAUUAAAGAUUAUAUGUAUUUUUAUAUCUAUUAGUAUUAGUGUUUAUACACAUAAUUAUACUAUAUGACAUUUUAGUUUGUCAUUUUCUUUCCAUGUGUGUCUAAUUGAUGAAAAUAUUUGUGCAUUUUCUAUUUUUAAGUGGUAACUUCUGAUAGAUUUUGGGCAAAUUUUGAUCUGCGAAUUAAGAUUCAUAUAAUAUAACUAGUUAGCUUAAAAAAUUAAUAGAUAUUUUUACAUAAAUGUUAUUAAUGAAAUGUUUUAAACUUUCAAAACUUGUAAAUAUGUCUUAUGUUCGACUUUAUUCCUUGCCAAAACAAAAUUCUUUCUCUUUUUUUUAAUUUUUGAAAUUUUUGUUGGUAUUUUAUUCGGUCAUUACCAUUUACUAUAAUUACUUUAAUGUUUAAAAUAAAAGAAUAUUAAUUAAAAUUAAAAAUCGAUAAAAUUGAAAAUUUAAAUAUAUAAUUAACAGUAAUAUAAUUCAUUUAUUUUAUAUAAAUAGGGUAAUUAUAGUGUGUGUUUUGAUAUUUUUUUUUAAUUAUUAUUGUUAUUAGCGGUUACUUUUUGUUUUAAUAUUAUUCUUAAUUUAGCCUUUAAUAUAAUUUGUUUUUUUAUUAAUGAGAAAUAAAUUAUGUUAUAAGGUUAAUGAAAUAUUCUUACAAAAUGACUAAAAUAACAUUAAAUAAAAGGAAGAUAAAAAUUAAUAAAAGUUACCACUAAUACUAGUAUUUUAAUAUUAACUUAUUUCUUUUUAAUAAAAGUUAAGAUUGUAGUUUACUAUUUUUUUAAUGCAUCAGUGUAACAUCAAUUCCAUAUACCCUUUGUUUUUUAAAAGAAAAUUGAAGAGACUCUACCACUCAAAAAUAUAUUAUAUCAGUAUGACUUUAUUAUCACCUUGUUUCAUUCUACCUAAUGAUCUACUCUCUUCUGCUUUUAAGUUGUAUUUUGUAUAAGCAUUAAUGAUUAUGAAUCAUUUGAUUAUUGAUCAAAUUUAAUAUAGUGCCUUUCUAAUAUAUAUUUUAAUCUAAUCAUCAUAUUUGAACCUGUCCACAGAACAAAUGCUAGCUCCAACCUAACUAAAUCAUUAGAGUAUUCUAGAUUGAUAUUCAAAUCAAUGUAUGCUAUUAUGGAAUAAAGAAUGCAAGAUGUUUCAAAGUUCAUAUAAGCAAUGGUAUAUUGCAAGUCAAUAUUCUUGAAAAGAGAUUAUGUCCUACCCUCAAUCACAUAACAUUGGAGUGUUUCAUUAAAAAGUGUCAAUAUCAUCUACACACUUAUCUUGGCAAGAAUCCAUAACUUGAAAUGGCAACUUCAAAGGCUUUUAGCUUUUCUUCAUGUCUGUGGAGGCCAUUGCGAUCAUAGGAUGAUAUUUCUUUUAUGUUGAGAUCAUUACAAGCUUGGACAAGUGCCUCCCCAACACGUUGAGCAGCUUCCUGAAAUCAUGUUAUGCCAAAACAGAAGAACAAAAAUCCAAAUAUAAAAUGUAUGACUUUUGGUUUUAGUCUAUAAAACAUUUUUUUUUUUAUGUUUUCAAAAUUUUCAGUGUCAUAUAAUAAUGGGAAUAAAAGGAAUUAAUUUUUAAUUUUACAAAGCAACCAAAAAUAAAGAAAAGUGUUUUCAAGGACUAAAAUCAAAGCUCAUUUAUUGUAUAAGAACUAAACAUAUAUCUAAACCUUCACAGUAUUAUUCCUAUAGACAUGUUUAGUUGAUAUUUAUAAUUUUAGACAAAAUAAAUUAUAUAAUUCAUCUCUAAUUAAAGAAAAAUGUGGCAGAGAUGGAAUGUUAAUGUAGAUUAUACUUUUAUUUCAAAUGGAAAUAUAAAUACCCACCCACCCCUUUAUAUAACUUUCGUGAAAAUAGAUAAACUAAGAAUAUAGUUUCAUGACCCCCACCAAAUAUGGGGAUUCUCAUCCUUGUAACCCGAGAAUUAAAGGUAAAAGAUGCAUUCCCUGUCUCAUGCAAUGUUUAUUUGUAAGAAAAGGUGGAGUACUAAUACUACUUACAAGAGUGCUACAAGAAGGAUCUUGUCGGAUGGAUUUCUGCAGCGUGCUUCCAUAGAACAAGCAACUCCUAGUCUUGUCAUCUACAACCAUUGCAUAUAAUUGCUUAUCUGAGCAAAAUACCGAAAGUCUUGGAUGUGUAGCUGUUCCAUUAUACUGAGAAAAAAAAAUCAGUGUAGUGGGGUGCAAUAUAAACCUUUGAUAAAGUUUCUUUCAGUUAAAAAUGCUGCAACAGCUUGUCACCGGUUAUGUUAUAGUCUGCGAGUAAAACAUAAUACAGUGUGUAUCUCUAUAUAAAUCAAAGGACUCUUGGAGAGACAGAAUUCACAGGAAGAACUUAUUAAAAUCUGAAACUAACUAGGAAAAUUUGGAUGCAAUGUUUUACUAAUGGUUACAUGGACUAAGGUAAAUGGCAUAGCAAACAUGCAUUCAAUUUGGAAUGCAAAAUGUGUCUCCAGAACACCUCAAUCAUGCAAAAUAUCGCUACAAAUCUCUACAAUAGAUAUGGCAGUACUAAAGGUGAAAGCUGAAUUAUAUAAAGAGAUACCUUUUUCAACAUCUUUCUGUUCCGAAUUUUUGCACUUUCUUUUCUAGUAUUUGCUCUACCCAUGGCUUCAACAAGUAAUGGUUUCUUAGUUAUACCUGUAGGAACAUUCAAAGUAAUCAAUACCAAAGUCGCGCUUAAUUUUGUGUCCAUGUUUAGAUAAUAUCAUCUGCUGAAUUCUACGAGCAUACUACGGCAUCCACCUUAUAAAUUCAAAUUUCAUAGAUGCUAACACAUUGCAUUGCUAAUAAAUUACAUUCUCAAGCACACGACAAAAAUCCCAAGAAUAACAAACAUGGCAAAAUUAACUUAACUUACUUCUACUCUGUGCCUGAAAGCAAACAAACAAGUUAGGAUGGAUUCCAAAGAGAGCAGAGUUCUUAAACUGUAGCAUUGGAGCAUUCAUUAGAGCCAUAUUAUGCAUGUCUCAAGGACUGCAAAAACAACAAAACUUGUGUCACAAAUACAUAAAAGCAAGACCGGGUUUCUAACAGGAAUUUAAGCAAACAGUUUAUGUGCAGGUUCGUAAAAGCAGCAGUUUUGUUGAGUUGGGUAAGAUAUUGAAGGAAAUAUUGGCCUAUGUUGAGUUCAAAAGGGCAAUUGAUGAGCAGGUAUGUUGGGAUUAUUUUUAUUUUAUGUAAUUUCAAAUGGGUCUUGAAUUGUGAAGAGCGAGAUGACAGAGGAGGAAGAGGUUACAACUCUUAUUUUUGGUUCGUUGUAUUUGCGAAUCACUUAUUAACGACGUGAGCGACGAGAGCAACGGCGUGGUUCAGCGAGAGUUGGGAGCGGCAGAAUGUGCGAGAGUGAGCAUCGGAGAAGAAUGGAAACCCUAGCGGAAAAGGAAAGUGAGGGGAAAAGGUUCUGAAGUUGAAAAGCGAUGGAUCGAGGAGAAGAAGAAGAAGAAGGUGUGAGCGACGGUGGUCGUCUAUGGUUUCUCCUCCGUCGGCGGCGACGGUGGCGGCAACGGUGGCGGUGGCGGCGGCGCUCCCUCUUUUCCUUCUCCCUG